GGGUGCGACCAUACCAGCACUAAUGCACCGGAUCCCAUCAGAACUCCGCAGUUAAGCGUGCUUGGGCGAGAGCAGUACUAAGAUGGGUGACCUCUUGGGAAGUCCUCGUGUUGCACCCC
rfam:Citrus clementina cultivar Clemenules unplaced genomic scaffold scaffold_6, whole genome shotgun sequence.